GCAUAUAGCUUUGUUGGUAGAGCAUGUGACUCUUAAUUUCAGGGUCAUAGGUUCAAGAUUCCUGCACUCCAGGCA